rnacentral:rRNA from 1 species
GUGGGGAAUCUUCCGCAAUGGACGAAAGUCUGACGGAGCAACGCCGCGUGAGUGAUGACGGCCUUCGGGUUGUAAAGCUCUGUGAUCGGGGACGAAUGGCUGGUAUGCUAAUACCAUAUCAGAGUGACGGUACCCGAAUAGCAAGCCACGGCUAACUACGUGCCAGCAGCCGCGGUAAUACGUAGGUGGCAAGCGUUGUCCGGAAUUAUUGGGCGUAAAGCGCGCGCAGGCGGCUUAUUAAGUCCAUCGUAAAAGUGCGGGGCUUAACCCCGUGAUGGGAUGGAAACUGGGAGGCUGGAGUAUCGGAGAGGAAAGUGGAAUUCCUAGUGUAGCGGUGAAAUGCGUAGAGAUUAGGAAGAACACCGGUGGCGAAGGCGACUUUCUGGACGACAACUGACGCUGAGGCGCGAAAGCGUGGGGAGCAAACAGGAUUAGAUACCCUGGUAGUCC